UGUAGCUGCAGCCGGCGCCCAGCUCUCGAGAGGACUGUGGGAGAGCAGAGGCUCAAACGAGGCCGCCUGCCGAGUUCCUCCACGGGCCCCUGGGCGAGGAGCGCUCUGCUGGGGACUGCGCCAGCGGUGCCUCCAGGCCUGGACUCUCAGCUCCGCUGCUGCUUUUGGCCAGAGUUCCCAAAGGCGGGUGUGGUUGUCUUUGGUGGGAAGGUUCAGCGCACCGCGAUAGUAAUAGGGGAGCAAGCACUCGCUGAGCCCAGUGCAGGGCCUGGACCGUGCUCCAUAGCAAGCACUGAUCUUGGGGUAUUGGUUUUGGAGGAAAGAGGGAGCACAAGGAUGGAAGGGGCCAGGGAAGAGUGGUCACGGUGGGAGAAGGAGAGUCCGCAUCCAUCGGAGGGUUUGUCACUCAGGCCUGAGUGGGAGGCACUGGAGGCAGGGAGAGGCCAGUCAGCAGCACGCGGCCACAGCCCAGAGAAGCCAGAGGGGUUUGCUGGUGGGUGGGCCCCAGCCUUUUCAAGGGAACGGCAGGUCUGGGGAGCUGCCGAUCUCGGGGUGUGAGGGUAACGGGCAGGCUGUGGCCCACCCCUCCUUCUCAGGCUCACUGGACCCCUGACCGGUUUCAUCACCAUUAUCCAAGGCUUUGAAAAGAACCCCUGGCCUUCCUGCCACAUCUGCCCUAGCUAUAGGGCUUCGUUCCCCUCCACAAAUGGUGCAGACAGCAUGAGCCACCCUGGCAGGGGGCUGGGGGUCCGUGGGGUAGGAGUUGGGGGUAGCUGAGCGUUCUUUCCUGUCCCCACGGUGCCUGGUGCUGGGGCUUGGCAGGCGGUGAAGGGUUGGGACAGCCUGGCUUUAGCAGGCCCUGAGUCAGGGGUCUCAGGCUCCGCAGCACACAGACCCCAGGCAGGUAUCAGGAUGGGAUGUGGCCAGAGAAAGGCAUGUGCUCUGUCUGGGGACAGCUGCCACCCAGCUGACACAGUUGGCGUGAGAUUGUGGAGUUUUAUGGAGUAAAAUCACAAAUCUGGGUUUUUUAAGUAAAACCUUCUAUGAGUUGCCAUCUCUGGCCUUCAACAUAGGGUUUGGGUCUUUCCUGGGUGAGCUGGUGCUUUGUGGGCCAGGCCCUGGGAGCUGCAAGUACCAGUUGGGAUCUGCUAUUGCCCUGUGGAAGGAUUUUAAGCAGGGGUGAAACAUGGUCAGACUUGGAUUUAGAGAUGAGGAAAAAAAACAAAAUCACGGUGCCCAGAGUCUCUGGGGAGACUGGAGAAUGCAGUGCAGGAGCCGCAGGAGCCAAAAAGGGGCACUGGUCCUGCGAAGAGUGGCUCUGUCCAUCCCUGCCUCCCAGUAUGUGCCCACUGUGACCAGAGCUCCAUUUCUCAAAAGAAGCCAGUGAUGCCAAUUACCAUGAGAAAUUUCCUUAUUUUUAACUGUCGAUUAAAAUUUGUACAAGUAUGGUGGGGCAGGCCUGCAAAAUGAUCUCCAAGUGCCUGGCCUUUGAUGCCCAUCCUAAAAGCAUGUGUGGCACUGGAGGGCCCACGUUUCUUUGUUCCUCUUGAGAAGCUGGGGUGGGGGCCGGCUGGGCUCAGGGUGCGGCCCCUCACUUCCCAGGGCUGUGGUCUCGGUGGGGCCUGCACUGUUCCUGGGUGUCCUCGGGCUGAGCCUCUGCCCUGUGAGGACGGCCGCUCAGGCACGAGCCGUCAGCGAAGCCGUGGCUGUGACUCUGUUUUCCGCAGUGGAGCGGAGGCGGAGGGACAAGAUCAACAACUGGAUCGUCCAGCUUUCGAAAAUCAUUCCAGACUGUAAUGCAGACAACAGCAAGACGGGAGCGGUGAGCACCCCGGACCCUCAGUGGCUGCGGUGGUCCCGGCCCCCAACCCUUGCAUGCAGAAAGUCCAACAGCCAUGGGGCUCGGGAGUCAUCCCUGGGGUGGAGGCCGGUGGGCGGUGCCUGCCCUAAGGCUCCUGGUCCCCUCGCCCCCCAGAGUAAAGGAGGGAUCCUGUCCAAGGCCUGCGAUUACAUCCGGGAGUUGCGCCAGACCAACCAGCGCAUGCAGGAGACCUUCAAAGAGGCCGAGCGGCUGCAGAUGGACAACGAGCUCCUGAGGCAGCAGAUCGAGGAGCUGAAGAAUGAGAACGCCCUGCUUCGAGCCCAGCUGCAGCAGCACAACCUGGAGAUGGUGGGCGAGGGCACCCGGCAGUGACGCCCGCCACCACCACGCAGCCGCCGCCGCCCACACCGGCCUCUGCUGCCCCCUUCCCCAGCCCUUAGCACAGAGAGGGACACAUGCCCCUCCCCCAGCUGCGUUUUUUUAUAGUAGAUUUUUAACAAAAAACGGGGAGAAAUAAUGCAUUUCUGUGGAUACAGUGCCCACCGCCCUCCUCCACUUGGAAACGGUAUCCUCCCUCCCCAUCCGUCUGUCUGUCGCCCUUCUCCUGGCCCUCACUAAGCCCCGGCACUUCUAGUGGUCUCACCUGGAGGCAAGAGGGAGGGGACAGAGGCCCUGCCACGUCCCGCUGCCUCCUGCUCUCUGGAGGUACUGAGACAGGGUGCUGAUGGGAAGGAGGGGAGCCUUUGGGGGGCCACCCGGGGCCUGGACCUAGCAGGGAGGCCACGUCCCACCCCACCUCUUGUUUCUGGGUCCCUGCUCCCCUUUGGGUGUGUGUGUGUGUGUUUUAAUUUUCUUUAUGGAAAAAUUGACAAAAAAAAAUAGAGAGAGAGAGAGGUAUUUAACUGCAAUAAACUGGCCCCAUGUGGCC
rnacentral:sRNA from 1 species